rnacentral:rRNA from 1 species
AGAGAGAGACAUGCGCGCAUAUCAAUAAGCGGAGGAAAAGAAACUAACUAGGAUUCCCUCAGUAACGGCGAGUGAAGCGGGAAGAGCUCAAAUUUGAAAUCUUCAAGGUUCUACCUUGACGAAUUGUAGUUUAAAGAAGUGUUUUCUGUUGGAGUUUUGGUAAAAGUUCUUUGGAAUAGGACAUCAUAGAGGGUGAGAAUCCCGUACUUGACCAUUAUUUCCAGCUUUGUGAUACACUUUCAAAGAGUCGGAUUGUUUGGGAAUGCAGUCCAAAAUGGGUGGUAAAUUUCAUCUAAAGCUAAAUAUUGGCGAGAGACCGAUAGCGAACAAGUACCGUGAGGGAAAGAUGAAAAGAACUUUGAAAAGAGAGUUAAACAGUACGUGAAAUUGUCAAAAGGGAAGCGUUUGACACCAGUGUUGUUUUUCUGAAAAUCAAUUAAAGAACUGUUUAUGCUAAGCUGUUUAGACUUUAUCAGCUAUCUGUUUAGUUUUGGGCUUUUCUUUAUGCACUUUUCAGUUAACAAGUCAACAUCAAUUUCUUUUGCUGUAAAAAAGCUUGAGGAAGGUGGCUUGAGAUUCGUCUUAAGUGUUUAUAGCCUCUUGCCUAUGCAGUCGGAGAGAUUGAGGUCUGCAGCGUAGAUCCUUCGGGGCUAAAUGCAUUUGUGCUAAGUUAUAGCAUUUUAUAGACAACUUGUUGACUAUGAUUUGUCCUGUAGCUUACUCGCUUAUGCUAUUUUACCUACGCUUAGGAUGUUGAUGUGAUACUGCGAGCA